rnacentral:ribozyme from 13 species
GGAGAUUAAACUGGGAAAACCCAACAAGUAAACCAGCGUAAUACAACCGGAUAUCAAACUGACGACGGCUGAAGGAAAUAAAGAAGCAAAUUUAAAAUUCUCAAAAUUAGAUAACAAAUCAUUGCCUAUCAAUGUGGCUUCAUUGUAUUCGUUUUGUCCUUUUGAGGGAGGGGAAUCAACUUCUUCCAUGUUUCUUUUUUCUUCUUCGGUAUUAUUAUU